UGGGGAAUCUUGCGCAAUGGCCGAAAGGCUGACGCAGCGACGCCGCGUGUGGGAGGAAGCUCUUCGGGGUGUAAACCACUGUUGCCCGGGACGAACAUGGUCUUUCGAGGCCACUGACGGUACCGGGUGAGGAAGCACCGGCUAACUCUGUGCCAGCAGCCGCGGUAAUACAGAGGGUGCGAGCGUUGUCCGGAAUCACUGGGCGUAAAGGGCGCGUAGGCGGCUCGGUCAGCGUGCGGUGAAAGCCCGGGGCUCAACCCCGGGUCGGCCGUGCGAACUGCCGAGCUGGAGCACUGUAGAGGCAGGUGGAAUUCCGGGUGUAGCGGUGGAAUGCGUAGAGAUCCGGAAGAACACCGGUGGCGAAGGCGGCCUGCUGGGCAGUGGCUGACGCUGAGGCGCGACAGCGUGGGGAGCAAACAG
rnacentral:rRNA from 1 species